CCUACGGGUGGCUGCAGUCGAGGAUCUUCGGCAAUGGGGGAAACCCUGACCGAGCGACGCCGCGUGCGGGAUGAAGGCCUUCGGGUUGUAAACCGCUGUCGUAGGGGAGGAAAUGCAGGAGGGUUCUCCCUCCUGUUUGACCUAUCCUAGGAGGAAGUACGGGCUAAGUUCGUGCCAGCAGCCGCGGUAAGACGAACCGUACAAACGUUACUCGGAAUUACUGGGCUUAAAGGGUGCGUAGGCUGCGCGGAAAGUUGGGUGUGAAAGCCCUCGGCUCAACCGAGGAAUUGCACUCAAAACUACCGUGCUCGAGGGAGACAGAGGUAAGCGGAACUCAAGGUGGAGCGGUGAAAUGCGUUGAUAUCUUGAGGAACACCGGUGGCGAAAGCGGCUUACUGGGUCUCUUCUGACGCUGAGGCACGAAAGCCAAGGUAGCAAACGGGAUUAGAUACCCUAGUAGUC
rnacentral:rRNA from 1 species